GACGAACGCUGGCGGCGUGCUUAACACAUGCAAGUCGAACGGUAAGGCCUUCGGGUACACGAGUGGCGAACGGGUGAGUAACACGUGGGUGAUCUGCCCUGCACUUUGGGAUAAGCCUGGGAAACUGGGUCUAAUACUGUAUAGGACUACGGCCUGCAGGGGUUGUGGUGGAAAGCUUUUGCGGUGUGGGAUGGGCCCGCGGCCUAUCAGCUUGUUGGUGAGGUCACGGCUCACCAAGGCGACGACGGGUAGCCGGCCUGAGAGGGUGACCGGCCACACUGGGACUGAGAUACGGCCCAGACUCCUACGGGAGGCAGCAGUGGGGAAUAUUGCACAAUGGGCGCAAGCCUGAUGCAGCGACGCCGCGUGAGGGAUGACGGCCUUCGGGUUGUAAACCUCUUUCAGUAGGGACGAAGCGCAAGUGACGGUACCUAUAGAAGAAGGACCGGCCAACUACGUGCCAGCAGCCGCCGUAA
rnacentral:rRNA from 1 species